rnacentral:rRNA from 1 species
GGGUAGUCCCGGCUGUAAACGUUGGGCGCUAGGUGUGGGGAGCCUCGACCCUCCCCGUGCCGCAGGGAAACCAAUAAGCGCCCCGCCUGGGGAGUACGGGCGCAAGCCUGAAACUCAAACCAAUUGACGGGGGCCCGCACAAGCGGCGGAGCAUGUUGCUUAAUUCGAUGCUACCCGAAGAACCUUACCAGGGCUUGACAUGCUGGCUUAAGCCUGUCCGAAAGGACGGGGUGGGAUGGUUUCCGCCAUCCAGCCAGCACAGGUGGUGCACGGCUGUCGUCAGCUCGUGCCGUGAGGUGUCCGGUUAAGUCCGGUAACGAGCGCAACCCCCGCCGCCAGUUGCCAACGGGUAAUGCCGGGAACUCUGGCGGGACUGCCCGCGUAAGCGGGAGGAAGGUGGGGAUGACGUCAAGUCCGCGUGCCCCUGAAGUCCUGGGCUGCAAACAUGCUACAAUGCCCGCUACAAAGGGUGGCGAACCCGCGAGGGGGAGCGAAUCCCAAAAAAGCGGGCUCAGUUCGGAUCGCAGGCUGCAACUCGCCUGCGUGAAGGCGGAGUCGCUAGUAACCGCCGGUCAGCAAUACGGCGGUGAAUACGUUCCCGGGCCUUGUACACACCGCCCGUCACGCCAUGGAAGCCGAUUGCACCUGAAGCCGGUGGGCUAACCCGCAAGGGAGGCAGCCGUCGAGGGUGUGAUCGGUGACUGGGGCGAAGUCGUAACAAGGUAGCCGUAGGGGAACCUGCGGCUG